CAAAGUUUUGACAUUGCUCCAAUUUUCCACAACAUAUGUGUGUGAGCUGAGCUUUUCAAGCCUAACUGCUAUAAAAAGUAAAAACAGAGAGAGACUGAAAGCUGGUGAAGAAGAGCUUUGUGUAUGCCUUUCUUCAAUUCCUGCCAGGAUAUCGGCUUUGUGUUCAUCUAAACAGGCCCAGGUUUCACUCUAAGAAGCUGCCUUAAUCACGAUGAACCCAGGCUACGCAGGCAGGACCGAGCUCCGGGACAACCUGGAGGCCGCUUCAGAUCCGUCUCCAUGAUUGUGCCCAAUCACGCCGUCAUCGCAGAGGUGGACUUGUGAGCUGAGGGCUUCAAGUCCAGUGAGACUCUGGCGAAGAAGAUGAUUCAGCUGUAUAAGCUGUGCAGCAAGCAGCUUUCCCGGCAGGACCACUACGACUUCAGCAUGAGAGUCGUCAACUCUGUUAUCGUCAUGGCCGGGUCUCUGAUGCGAGAGAACCCACACCUGAGUGAGAACGUGGUGUUGAUUAGAGCGCUACGAUACUCCAACCUGCACAAGUUACUCAAGGAUGACCCAGAACUUAAAAUAAAAUAAAUUGAUAAAUAGUAAAGAACGCCAAAGCUUACAUAUGGAGUAUCAAAGGUGUUUGCUCAAAUUUAGCCUAUUACCCAAAAACACUUAAAAUUCAACUUAGAAGCCAAUACUCACAUCUACCUCUGAGCCCAGUUGGAGAUAGAAAAAAAGACACCAGCCGUGAGUGAGAAGAAGCAAGGGUCCAGCUUUAUUGUUCCGUUCCACCACACGAGAUCCACACCGAUGAGAAUUCUCAGAAGUGAUCUGAUACCCUGAGCUUAAGCUCCAGUAUUUAUAUUGUAUUUACCCAGUAAAUAACCCAUAUGUUUCAAGAAGACUAUGAUAUCACUACCAAUAGGGUUAAAAAAGAGCUCAUCUACCUUACUCUUAUGUUCCAGAAAACGGCUAUUUCACUUACACAUAGAAUCAAAACCAGGGGUUCUCAAAUUACACAUAAAAUCAAAACCAAGGGAUUUCUAAUAACCCAGAAAAUCAAAACCAAGGGAUUUCUAAUAAUCCAGAAAAUCAAAACCAAGAGAUUUCUGAUAACCCAGAAAAUCAAAACCAAGGGAUUCUACUAACCCAGAGAAUCAAAACCAAGAGAUUUCAAUAACCCAGAGAAUCAAAACCAAGGGAUUUGAAUAACCCGUAAAAUCAAAAGUGGAGAGACAAAACAUUAUCAUUAUCACAGGAUCACUGGAAUCAGGCACUAGGAGGAAAUUCCAGGACAAAUUAGGAAAUACAAUUAACUGACAUUUGCAAAUUCUUUGAAACUAAAAAGCUGUAAUUAUAUACUAUAUAACUUUUUUUUUUAAAGCAUUUAAAGUAUAUAACAUUAGCACCUUGUAAUGUUAUACCAGAUGAAAAGUAAAGAAUCCUGGAACAUCUGAACAUCCAUAAUCUGAAAAUCUUGAACCUAGAGUCAAUCGAGUCAAUCCAAUCUUUCUUGUGUGCGUUUAGCGGUAUUCAGUCGGACCUCUUUCCUGGUGUGGGCGUCCCCGUGCAUGACUACGGCGCGCUUCAGUCGAACAUCGAGGCAGCUCUAUGCGCCCGCUCCCUGCAACCCGUCUCCAGCAUGACCGCCAAGGUGAUCCAGAUCCACGUCCCAGUAUUAGCACAGCUGCUUCUGCGUGUUCACCUACGUGAACACAUACAAAAAGACGUGAUGUAUAUACAAUCUCAUUGUAUACGAAUUGGGCAUUCUCGCUGACGAUAUAGCGUGGAUAGUUUAUAAUGAGUGCGUUCAUACUGUAUAAACCUGGGAACUGAUCUGCAUAUGCACUGCUGUCAGAGCUGCAGUUAUUUUUAAAAGAUUUAUUAACAGCUUCUGACCAAUCAGAUCUGACGACACCCAUGAUUCCCUUCGCUCUGAAGAGAAGGUGUGUAGCCAUCUGUACCCUUUCAUUGACGAGCUCAGUGACGAUGUCUCUGGCGUGGACAUCCACAGUAAUGAGAGCUGUGAUGAUGCUCUGAUGUAUUUUGGAUGAUGACAGCCAAGCGCAGCGAGGUGAGUCUUCUCCCAUCCCUGCGGCUCUCAUCCCGACAAGACAGUUUAAAUCAGCUUGGCUACAAGACUUCGCCUGAUUACGUUAUGACAAAGGGAAAAUGUACGGCACCUUUUGUGCUAAAGCAGGACAAGAUAUUGCUGGUAAAACAGAGUUCAUUACCAGUUCGAGUCAUUUUAAAAAAGAAACCGAAAGAAG
ensembl:lncRNA